GAUCAUGGCUCAGGAUAAACGCUGGCGGCGCACAUAAGACAUGCAAGUCGAACGGAAGUCGUUGUAAUGAUAUAGACAUGGACUGAGAACUUGUUCAAAGAAAGUGAAAGUUGACUUACAACAAUGGCUUUAGUGGCGGACUGGUGAGUAACACGUAAGCAACCUGCCUAUCAGAGGGGAACAACAGUUAGAAAUGACUGCUAAUACCGCAUAUGCCUAAGUAUCACA
rnacentral:rRNA from 1 species